AAGAAGGAGAGAGAAGGGAAGAAGGAAGAAGGAAGAAAUGGGGGAGAAAAUGCUCGUUGUGCGUCGCCAAGGUUUAAUCUUUCAAUUUCGAUGCCGGAUUAAUGAUCCUCAUCUCGAGAUCUACUAUUUUAGGUUAUACUAGAAACUCGCGUUAUCGCAUGUCGGAUAUUCCUCAUACCAAGGGUGAUCUUCGUACACAACUAGAUGAUCUUACAAGUUAUCUGACCGAAGAACUAGAGCCGGGACCCACUGUGGAAUUUUCAGUCAAGGAGUGGUGGGUCCCUGAAAAUCUUGGGCAUGGGGCCGAGUGCUCGUGCAAUAGAUGUGUUACAGGUC